rnacentral:rRNA from 1 species
AACGAACGCUGGCGGCAUGCCUAACACAUGCAAGUCGAACGAGACAUUCGGGCUUAGUGGCGCACGGGUGGGUAACGGGUGGGAACCUGCCUUUAAGUUUGGCAUAAAUCCCCGAAUGAGGUGCUAAAACCGGCGAAUAUACUCCGAACAAAGGUUGAUCGCAAUUGGAUGGGCCUGCGAUGGCUUAGCUAGUUGGUAGGGUAAAACCCUAUCAAGGCGUCGAUCGAUAACUGGUUAGAGAGGCUGGUCAGCCACACUGGGCCUGAGACACGGCCCGGACUCCUACGGGAUGCAGCAGUGGGGAAUAUAGGACUAUGGGCGGAGGCCUGAUCCAGCAAUGCCGCGUGAGUAAUGAAGGCCGUAGGGUUGUAAAGCACUUUUACCCGGUGUGAUAAUGACAGUACCGGGAGAAUAAGCACCGGCUAACUCCGUG